rnacentral:rRNA from 1 species
AGCAUGUGGUUUAAUUCGAUGCAACGCGAAGAACCUUUACCAGGUCUUGACAUCCCACGAAUUCAUCUGAAAGGAUGGAGUGCCUUCGGAGCGUGGAGACAGGUGGUGCAUGGUUGUCGUCAGCUCGUGUCGUGAGAUGUUGGGUUAAGUCCCGCAACGAGCGCAACCCUCGACCUUAGUUGCCAGCGAGUCAAGUCGGGCACUCUAAGGUGACUGCCGGCUAAAAGUCGGAGGAAGGUGGGGAUGACGUCAAAUCAUCAUGCCCCUUAUGACCUGGGCUACACACGUGCUACAAUGGGCGGUACAAAGGGUCGCGAACCCGCGAGGGGGAGCCAAUCCCAAAAAGCCGCUCUCAGUUCGGAUUGCAGGCUGCAACUCGCCUGCAUGAAGCCGGAAUCGCUAGUAAUCGCGGAUCAGCAUGCCGCGGUGAAUACGUUCCCGGGCCUU